GUAGAUCUUGCCAGUUUGUACAUCAGGACGGGUGCCAAGAACAUGCCCACAGUGUUUUUGCUGACAGAUGCCCAAGUUCCAGAUGAAUGCUUUCUUGUGCUGAUUAAUGACUUGUUGGCAUCAGGAGGGGCUCCAGACCUGUUCAGUUCAUCACUGCAUCCUGCAGUGAUGAAGACAUGAAGGUCACAACUGCAGCAGUUAGAGAAGAAGUCUGAGCCCUGGGCCUGAUGGACAUCAGCAAACACUCCUGGAGGUGAUUCCUGAGGCUGUGGCUGCAGUAAGAAAGUAGAAGAUCUAAAAUCCAAACUUGCUACUCAAGAGGCAGAACUGCAACUGAAAAAUCAAGAUACUGAAGCUUUGAUUGCUAAGAUAGGGUUUCAAACUGAGAAACUGAGCCAAGAAAAGGCCAUUGCAGAUGCAGAGGAGC